rnacentral:rRNA from 1 species
UACGUAGGGGGCAAGCGUUGUCCGGAUUUAUUGGGCGUAAAGAGCGUGUAGGCGGCUUUGCAAGUCCGUUGUGAAAACUCGAGGCUCAACCUCGAGACGCCGGUGGAAACUGCAAAGCUAGAGUCCGGAAGAGGAGAGUGGAAUUCCUGGUGUAGCGGUGAAAUGCGCAGAUAUCAGGAAGAACACCCGUGGCGAAGGCGGGUAGCUGGGCCAACACUGACGCUGAUGUGCGAAAGCUAGGGGAGCAAACGGG